rnacentral:rRNA from 1 species
CGGCACGGGUGAGUAACACGUAUCCAACCUGCCGUCUACUCUUGGACAGCCUUCUGAAAGGAAGAUUAAUACAAGAUGGCAUCAUGAGUUCACAUGUUCACAUGAUUAAAGGUACUCCGGUAGACGAUGGGGAUGCGUUCCAUUAGAUAGUAGGCGGGGUAACGGCCCACCUAGUCUUCGAUGGAUAGGGGUUCUGAGAGGAAGGUCCCCCACAUUGGAACUGAGACACGGUCCAA